rnacentral:lncRNA from 1 species
UCUCUUUUCCUCUCUUUUUCUCUCUCUUCUCUCUCCUCUCCCCUCCCCCUCGUGCGAAUUGCCCCCCACGCCCACACUCUCUCCUUUUGUCCCUUGCCGUUUUCUAUUUUGCUUUCUCCUCCCCCUUUUGACUAGUCAAAGUUUCCUCACUUAUCUCUUCUUCUCUCUCCUCUCUCUUCUUCCCCCCAACCCCACGUGACCGAGCCCUGCUUCUUCUCCUUCCUUCUUCGUGCAACCAGCGAACAAAAGCAGGAGCUGAAGCGAAGACAGCAGCUCGCCGAAGCAGCUCGCCGUUACUGCCGCACGCCGCCGGGCCGCCGUCCGCGCCACCCGCGCAACGCCGCGCGUUCCGCCGGCCGUCCCUCGUGCCCAGGCGUCCUCCUCCGCACGAUCCAGCCGCUGCCCAGCCUCUGUUCAGCCCCGUCCGGCCACCUCCGGCCACCGUGGGCCACCGUUCGGCCUCGCCAAGCCGCCACCUACCUUCCCGACCCCUUGCUGCCCCCAACCAUCUCUUUUUCCCCUCUGUUUCGCAGCAAACCAGCAACCCACGAAAUGGGUUUCCAGCUGGUUCGGGCUCGUUUUGGGCCGUUUCCCGGCCCCAAACCCGAGGCCCGCUUUGGGAAGAAUUGUUCCUCGCGUCGCCGCCGUCGGAUUGAUCCGAUUUGCGCACGAUUUGGUGAGUAAUUUCACUAAUCCUGAAUUAGUUGGCUAAUUAUGCUUUAGGUUGGUUUAGUUUUAAUUAAUUAUGUUUAGGUUGUUAGAUUAGAAUAAAUAAGCAAUUAUUAGUCAAUUGUGAUGUGAUUUAAAUAAAUUGAUUGUGCAAUUAGCAAGUAGACGUGGUCUACUAUUUAUUGAAGGCAUCUCGGGAAUUUUCGGAUCCCUAAUCGGGCAUCAAUUUGGCGAUUCGGUCCUAAGUGAGAUUUUUGGGCAUUUAAAUAUUAAUUUUUGGAAUUAAAUUAAAUAAUUAUUUAUUUUCCGAAAAUUCAAGGGAGAUGGUUCGGAAUCGGAAAAUUAUGCUGAUGAUCGUGGUGAAGUCCGUUUAUUUAAUCGGACUUUAUGUUAAGCUAAAUUGAAUUUUUAAUAUUAAUUAAUUUUCGAAAUUAAUUAAAUAAUUAUUUAUUUUCCGAAAAUUCAACUGAGAUGGCCUGGAACCGGAAAAUUAUGCUGAUGACCGUGGUGAAGUCCGUUUAUUUAAUUGGGCUUUAUUUUGAGCUCAAUCGAAUUUUUAAUAUUAAUUAUUUAAUUUUCGAAAUUAAUUAAUUAUUUAUUUAUUUCUUGAAAAUUCAACUGGGAUGGCCCGUGACCGGAAAAUUAUGCUGAUGACUGUGGUGAAGUCCGUUUAUUUAAUUGGACCUUAUUUUGAGCUAAACGGAAUUUUUAAUGUUUAAUAAUUAAUUUUCGAAAUUAGUUAAUAAUUAAUUAUUUUUCGGAAAUUAAGAUUGAGAUGGCCAACGACCGAAAUCUCGUGCUGAUUGUCGGGGUGCAGUCUGUUUAUUUAUUUGAGCUUUGAAUUGUGCCAAAUUGAAUUGAAUGUGGAAUUUAGGAUAUAUUCCUAAAUGGUUGUGGUUAACUAUUUCAUUGAGAAACCAUUGAAUCUUGCAAGCGGUCGAGUGGGACCGUAAAGCCAUUGAAUCUUGCAAGGGGUCGAGUGGGACCGUAAAGCCAUUGAAUCUUGCAAGGGGUCGAGUGGGACCGUAAAGCCAUUGAAUCUUGCAAGCGGUCGAGUGGGACCGUAAAGCCAUUGAAUCUUGCAAGCGGUCGAGUGGGACCGUAAAGCCAUUGAAUCUUGCAAGCGGUCGAGUGGGACCGUAAAGCCAUUGAAUCUUGCAAGCGGUCGAGUGGGACCGUAAAGCCAUUGAAUCUUGCAAGGGGUCGAGUGGGACCGUAAAGCCAUUGAAUCUUGCAAGCGGUCGAGUGGGACCGUAAAGCCAUUGAAUCUUGCAAGGGGUCGAGUGGGACCGUAAAGCCAUUGAAUCUUGCAAGCGGUCGAGUGGGACCGUAAAGCCAUUGAAUCUUGCAAGCGGUCGAGUGGGACCGUAAAGCCAUUAAAUAUUGAAUGUUGUCGAGUGGUGGACUGUGUCUUCCACCUUUGCUUAAGAUGUGAUCUGAGGACCGUAGUUCGUAAUUGAUGAUUGAGAUGGAAGAAUCGAAUUGACCUAGAAGGGUCUGUCUGACAUGUAAUCGACGAGGUCGAUUGAUCAUUGUUUUGAUUUGAUGUUGUUGAAUUGAUUGACUGAAUGGAUGGAAAUGACCGUGAGUGGUCUUGUUGGCUUGUAAUCGACUAGGUCGAUUUGAUCGAUGCUUCGAUCGGUGAUAUGAUUGUUUGAGUGUCUAUUAUGAAUUGUACUGACUUGCAGGUGGGAUCUGAUGCUAAGGUACGUCCUCUGCCCUGUGCGUGUUUAGGCAGCCUAUAGUAUAAUGGUUUACUAAUCGGGCUUAGUGGGGUAGAACUCGCUGAGACGUAGUCUCAUCCCAGUUUGGGGAAAAACAUUUCANNNNNNNNNNNNNNNNNNNNNNNNNNNNNNNNNNNNNNNNNNNNNNNNNNNNNNNNNNNNNNNNNNNNNNNNNNNNNNNNNNNNNNNNNNNNNNNNNNNNNNNNNNNNNNNNNNNNNNNNNNNNNNNNNNNNNNNNNNNNNNNNNNNNNNNNNNNNNNNNNNNNNNNNNNNNNNNNNNNNNNNNNNNNNNNNNNNNNGUUUGGUUAUAAAUUUCAAUAUGAAAAAUAUGGCCCUGCUUUUCUAUCCCAUCGUUUUAUUGUCUGGGGAUUUUAAUUGCUUCCGCAUGUGCUUAAUAAAUGAAAGGGUCGGCGAUACUAGUCCUGGGAUAUCGCAUUAUAAAAUCGACCAAAUAGAAGGAUGUGUACGUGCCUGAGGAUCGGGGCGUGACAGAUAAACUCUAGGGGCAACACGUGCUAGCCACUACACACGUGCCACCGGGUAAGUCACCCUGCGACGUCCGAAAAUCGAAUUCCUCCCCUUGCAUUAGGGGGAGAAGCUCGCCGCCAGCAGCGCCACCUAGGUGGGUGGUUUCAUAUACCUAGUAUUUAUUCUUUAACAAGGAAUAAAAAGAAACCUUUUUUUGUUAAAUGGCCAAGAAGUCUCUAUAAAUAACCCUUCGAAGCUAAGUUCUUGUUGUGGCCAGCAAGAGAGGAUCGGGCGAGGCGUGAGCGCAAACGAAUCGCUCAACCGGGUUAAGUUCGGAAUAAUCCUCAAGGGCUGAUAUAACUUGGUUGCUUCUUGACUUCUUGCUAGAGAAGAUGAGACUGUGAAAGCCCAGCAAAGAUAAUGGGCUGUGCCUGAUGUGGUCGUGGGAAUCAUUCUCUAGAUUGGAACCUCAUUUCUUAUUGAAAUAUUUCAUAACUUUUUCGUUUACUUGCAGGGCUCUUUCUCAUGACUUCUCUCGUGGGCUUGCGUGGGUGGCUCGAAUUCCUCCUAGCUUUGAUUGAAUUUCCCCCUCAUUUUUUGCCGAAUUUAUGCAAGUCUCGACCUGGUUCUAGCACCCUCACUUGGCUUCGACCAUGAUGAUUAGGAAGAGUGACACGUAAAUCUGGAGGAAGACUCCCUUCAAGUUGGUUCAUGGGAAACUCACAGCCGACAAGAGAAAAGAAGAAAUGUUGAAGAAGGAGGAAGGGAGAGUGCCAUGGAGUCCAUUUGUACCGAGAUAAAGACACUCCAAAUUUUGCAAACAGCCCAACGCGACUGGAACUCUUGCCACAAAGUUAUUAAAUGUCACUGAGAUGAACACUAGAGAUGUGAGGUUCUCGAAGAAUUCAGGGAAGUUUCUAGAGACAUUAUCGGAGUAUUUAUGAAUUGUUGUAGCUUUGACAUAGAAACAAUUGCUAUCAAAACUUGACCAACUAACAUAUUAUCGCUUAGCUCCACAUCCUCAGGAUUAAUGCAGCCAAAGAUGCGGGCAGGAAUUUGACCAUUGACCAAAGAAUGAGUUGAUCUCUAGGUCUAAGUAUCUGAGUCUAUACAAGUUACCCAUCUUCAAGGGG